rnacentral:rRNA from 1 species
AUUGAACGCUGGCGGCAGGCCUAACACAUGCAAGUCGAACGGUAACAGGAAACAGCUUGCUGUUUCGCUGACGAGUGGCGGACGGGUGAGUAAUGUCUGGGAAACUGCCUGAUGGAGGGGGAUAACUACUGGAAACGGUAGCUAAUACCGCAUAACGUCGCAAGACCAAAGAGGGGGACCUUCGGGCCUCUUGCCAUCGCAUGUGCCCAGAUGGGAUUAGCUAGUAGGUGGGGUAACGGCUCACCUAGGCGACGAUCCCUAGCUGGUCUGAGAGGAUGACCAGCCACACUGGAACUGAGACACGGUCCAGACUCCUACGGGAGGCAGCAGUGGGGAAUAUUGCACAAAGGGCGCAAGCCUGAUGCAGCCAUGCCGCGUGUAUGAAGAAGGCCUUCGGGUUGUAAAGUACUUUCAGCGGGGAGGAAGGGAGUAAAGUUAAUACCUUUGCUCAUUGACGUUACCCGCAGAAGAAGCACCGGCUAACUCCGUG